rnacentral:tRNA from 1 species
ACUUAGACGGUAAAGUGUCUGCCUACAGUGCAGAAGACCCAGGUUCACUCCCUGG